AACGAACGCUGGCGGCAGGCCUAAAACAUGCAAGUCGAACGGGUGUAGCAAUACAUCAGUGGCGCACGGGUGAGUAACGCGUGGGAACGUGCCCCUUAGUACGGGACAACGUCGGGAAACUGACGCUAAUACCGUAUAAUAUCUCCGGAUCAAAGAUUUAUCGCUGAGGGAGCGGCCCGCGUCUGAUUAGCUAGUUGGUGAGGUAAUGGCUUACCAAGGCUACGAUCAGUAGCAGGUCUGAGAGGAUGAUCUGCCACACUGGGACUGAGACACGGCCCAGACUCCUACGGGAGGCAGCAGUUAGGAAUAUUGGACAAUGGGCGAAAGCCUGAUCCAGCCAUGCCGCGUGUGUGAUGAAGGCCCUAGGGUUGUAAAGCACUUUCGUUGGGGAUGAUAAUGACCGUACCCAAAGAAGAAGCACCGGCUAACUUCGUG
rnacentral:rRNA from 1 species